rnacentral:rRNA from 1 species
GACGAACGCUGGCGGCGUGCCUAAUACAUGCAAGUCGAGCGCAGGAAACUGACGGAACUCUUCGGAGGGAAGGCAGCGGAAUGAGCGGCGGACGGGUGAGUAACACGUAAGGAACCUACCUCAAGGAUUGGGAUAACUCCGAGAAAUCGGAGCUAAUACCGGAUAGGUCAUCGGACCGCAUGGUCCGUUGAUGAAAGGCGCUCCGGCGUCACCUUGAGCUGGCCUUGCGGUGCAUUAGCUAGUUGGUGGGGUAACGGCCCACCAAGGCGACGAUACAUAGCCGACCUGAGAGGGUGAUCGGCCACACUGGGACUGAGACACGGCCCAGACUCCUACGGGAGGCAGCAGUAGGGAAUCUUCCACAAUGGACGAAAGUCUGAUGGAGCAACGCCGCGUGAGUGAUGAAGGUUUUCGGAUCGUAAAACUCUGUUGUAAGGGAAGAACACGUACGAGAGGAAAUGCUCGUACCUUGACGGUACCUUACGAGAAAGCCACGGCUAACUACGUGCCAGCCGCCGCGGUAA